rnacentral:miRNA from 1 species
AACUCCUGCAUGACGCCGUUCCC